GGACAGCGUCCCGAUCUAUUCCAAGAUUGAUUUCCAUUUCAUCCUCAGCUUCGCCGUCGAUGCCAACAGCAACGGAGAGCCCCAGAACGGCAUCUUCUACCCCUACUGGCCCGCCUCCAUCACCCCAGCAUCCGUUCGCACCAUUAAGACCCGCCACCGUAACGUUAAAGUACUUGCCAGCAUCUUCGGGAACACCGUCUUUAAAUGGUACAACCCCGGCCAACCUGAAGUCUGGAUCACCAACGCAUUCAAUUCCAUCAAGUCAAUGGUAAAUCGCUACCACC
rnacentral:misc_RNA from 1 species